rnacentral:tRNA from 1 species
GCCGCAGUGGCGGAAUUGGCAUACGCGCACGGUUCAGAACCGUGUCUCGCAAGAGAUAGAGGUUCAACUCCUCUCUGCGGCA